GGAUGUGAGGGCGAUCUGGCUGUGACAUCUGUCACCUCCUUGAUCUCUAGGAUUGUCUUGGCUGAUCUGGCUGGUGUCCCCUUCCUCCCUCACUGCUCCAUGUGCAUCCCUCCAGAAGCUGUGCGCUCAGUUGAAGAGGAAAAGUAAAUAAAUAAAUAAAUAAAUUGUUUGAAAUAGGGAAAAAGAGACAU
rfam:Myotis davidii contig153299, whole genome shotgun sequence.